CAGGAGAGGGGUGGAAAGGUGACGACAACAGCCACAACCAACCGAAAGACAUAAUCGAGAGCGAAGUCGUGCGUGUGAGCCCGGUGCGCGGGGAGACGGAUAAGGCAUUCACCUCUCUAGCAGUGCGCGCGUAAAACUGAGGAGGCCGUUGCCUGCGUGCAUCCGCACGGCCGGCGCAGAGAGGGAGAGGGCAUCGAGCCUUUCUGCCACCGCUCAGUGGUGGUCGUUAUACGCGGCGCUUUUACUCACCUUUCUCGUUAGCAUACGCCUUGCGAACGUUGUCUGUCCGACAUCCGCACCUCUGCCUUCGCGUUUAGGGAGCGCAUGAGGGCACGGCGAGCGGUGUCUCCAAGACCGGGAUGCAGUAUAGUUCAUCUGACGCACUCGAUGGAACGCCUAACGCCCCACCAAAGGAUGCCGCAGAUGGCUGCUACGCCUUCUCGCCGUCCUGUGGAACGGCCUCCUCUUAUGUCUCUAUGAUGGACCGUAUGGAUGAGUUUGAGUGCCCUGUACCUACCAAAGGCAGCAACACUCCCCUACGCCCCACUGCACAGCCGGUGAACCGCACACUGGACACCCACGCCACGACCGGCGCUUCUUGCGCUGGUGCUGCUCGCCCGCCGCUCCCGUCGCAAGGCGCCCAUCGACCACCAAGCAGCUUAAGUUCCGACCAGAGCAGUCUUGCCAUGCAAAACUUUAGAACCUACGGGCACAUAGACGAUGUCGUGGCUGGCCCGGCCUCCGCUCCUGCCAGCAACCGCGACGUGGCUUUGCCUUUCAAUAAGCACGACAGAGCCUACACCUGCUGGCUACAAGGUAGCCCUAUCUCGUCGAUCCAUGCAGGGGACACACCCGUGCAUCAGCACGGCGUGGUGGCGGGGGAAGAGCGUCGUCGUCCCCACAGCGAGAACGUAGACGUGUUUCGGCCCACCGUCGACAGCGGCGGCACGAAAACAUUCGCCGCCGCUGCCGCCGUGAUCACACUGUCCACGCCAUCCCUUUCGUCGGCGUCGCUGCCGGCGCGCACGGAAGGCACUCGGCGGCCGCCUUCUUCGUCGAUUUCCCCCGCGACGACCUUCGCGCAGACGCGCCACAGCGAUGUUGCCGAGCUACGCUCGCAUCUGAGUGCCCUGUUGCAGCAACAGGCUUUAGGUGCCGCGUGCAGCGCCGCUGCACAGUGCGACGGCACUGUUUCCGAGGGCGACGGCUUUGGAGACCGAGGUAGUGCCCCGCCUUCGUCGUCCUCGCUGCGCUGCUCGGACUCUGGCGCUAGAGUGCAGGGUGCCGCGUUUUGCCCAGGCCAGCUGCCGACGCGCACAGCGCAUGCUCAAGCACGCACGUCGCAGAGCCUGGAGCGACCGUCGUCAGGGGCAGCGUCUUCGCAGCGCGGACGUCGGAUGCCAUCGUUCUCGACACCGCCGCUGGCGCCAGAUGCCACCUCUACGCUUGGCAGGGCGAGUGAGUCGUUUCUGCGCAGCAUGCCAGCGCACCAGCAGCUGCCGCAUCCGCCAAUCACACGCGCCUCUGAAGGUAUCGCUCAUGUAGCCAGCACUGGUCACAUCAGUCGCGUGAGCCAGGAUGUGCGCCAUGCACGUGCCCAGCAGGCCUUCGACGCGCAGGCAAGCGAGCUCGAGCAGCAGCUGGAUGCGCAGCUGGGGCUUGUUUUCACGCUAAUGCGGCAGGUCAUGGUUCUGGACGCGCAUCUAGCCGCGAGGUCGGCAGCCGACACGGGCACCACCCUGACGAGCAGCGGCGCAGACAGCGAAGAGCAUCGCGAGCUUCUGGUUGGGCAACUCGAGGAGGCCGAGGACGCGACGGUGUCUACAGCUCUGCACUUUGUAGAGCUUGCGAACCGCCACGCGCUGGAGUGGAUGAAUCAAGGGCAAUAUUCUGCGGCCCUGCAGCUUCUGCAGCGGGCGGGCAGGCUGCUGCGCAAGGGUGCCGGUCGGGUAUUCCGCUAUCUGCCAGAUCCUGUAGAGCUCGAGGCCCCCUCGAUCAACGGCGCGGCGGGAGGGCGUAAUGAACCUCGCGAUGGCCGUGACACAACCCCGCUGCAGCGGCCGACUGCCGCGUCGUCACAGGCCAGGAGCCACGACCGUAAGAGCCCGACAAUGUUCACAUCCAGCGACAGCGGUGCCGAUAUCAACCACAUCAGCAACGACAAUGUGUUCAGCAUCAGCGCCCCCUUUUUCUCCCCGUCGCAGGAACCGCGGCGACUCAAGGCCGUGGCCGCUGUGGAGCACAACCUCGGCGUCUACCACUUCAAGCUGGGGGAGUACACGCUGGCAAGCGCACUCUUCGCCCGGUCGGCGGCCCUGGAGGAAGAGCUUCAGGCACCUGGAAUCGGCAUCACAUAUUUUAACAUGGCGCAGACGCAGCAUGGCCUUCGGCAGCUGACCGAGGCGCUGCGAUACGCCGAGAUGGCGGAGGAGGCGGUGGAGCGGCAAGUGUUCCAGGCGAAGGACAAGGCAACGCAGAUGCGGCGGCGGCUGACACAGGGGCGCGCGUUCCAGGCAAGGGACUUCCCAGAUGGCGCGCGUGCUGCGAGCAGAGGCGGUGAGGACAACCGCGACGGGAUCGCCGCGGCUGCAAACGCAUCGGCAGAGGGUCACCGUUACAGCGAUGCAGCGGCGACCACCGAAGGAGAGGAGGAAAAGGCGCUCAUGUGCAUGUGGCUACAGUGGCGCGAGAGCGUAUGCUUCUUGUCGUACGUGAAGCAGACACAUGCGAGAUGGCUGGAUGAGAUGGGCCUCUACAAGGAAGCUUAUCAGCAGUAUCAGCAGGCGCAUCGCUGGCUCCUCGCCAUUCCUCGCCUCGCCACGGAGGAGCAGCAGCGUGCACAGCUGUUGAAGCAGUACAUGGCGACCAUGAAGACACGCUGGCGGCGAGAGGAGGUCGAGGUGGAGCUCUACCGUCACCCGCUGCGCAUCUCCUCGGCCUCCAGUAGCGGGGCUGUGCCAGCGGGGUCGUACCCUUCGCACAAUACCCGCUCCCCGAGCAAGCACCGCGCGCGUACGCACCAGCGUCCUCAGCGGUCUCCAGCGGUGUUGUCUGCAGCCGUGCCCAUUCCGAAAGACUUCACAUCCCCGCUGCAGAGUACUGUAGUGACAUCAGUGCUACCGCGCAAUGUGGAGGUGGUCGGUAGGUGCCCGCGCGGCCCUUCUCGUGCGUUUUAUCGUGAGAGCUUCCCCACCCCGCACGAGGCGCCGUUUCUCUGGCCCUCCGCCAGCGCUUUUGCGCUGCGGAAUUCGAUGAGUUCACAGCCGCGUCGCCGCCCCAGCAGCGCAAACGCCGUGCUGCACUCCUUGUAUGCCCCACGCCGACCGCCUGCAUCAUUGCUUCGACAUCGACCCAGCGCCACUAACCACGCCACCGCUUCUGCGGAGCAGAACCACACAUCCCUGUCACAUCCAUCACCGGAGACGAGAGAGCAGCAGCAGCACGGCGGCAAGAGAGCAUCCUGGGAUCCAUCAGUGCGCGUGCCGAUCCCGCCGCCUGGCCGACGCACUGAAUACCGCACGUCGACUGGGCGCGCUGGGCCAGCCGCGUCUGGCCCAUUAAUGCGUUGCACCUCUGCCUCCCUGUUGCGAAGCAACGCAGGAGAGCCAGAGAUGGACACGACUGCACAUCUGCCGCCCCGGGCAUCGUUCACCCCCUACGAUGCGCACACGCGUAGUGCCCCUCAGCAUCAUCCUUCACCGCCUCGCGAACCGCCCCAGGCGAGUAGCACAUUGACAGAGUCUUUUGUGGCGCACGGCCUGCUUUUCGAGACCGAGCCAGAGACACCAAAGUCGCUACCACAUCAUCGACACAGUGAGCCCGUCUUCCCUGAUGCGCUUACCGUCGAGAGCAUGCAGAAAGCUGCCGCCGACCCACCAGGGCAGAGAAGCGGAGCUGCUGCGACACCGCAGAAAGGCAGUGCUGGCGCUGGCGUUUCGGACCUCGCCGCAUCGGCCCCGUCAGCCGCGCGCCAGCUGCCCGAACUCACGCCGUCCCCUCGAAUUCCCGGCGACUUGACAUGGUGCGUGACCGUGCUGCAGGCCUUUCUGCGUCCUCGCUGCCGCCACCGGACCUUGUUAGACACAGAGGGGGAGAGGGACCGCGGCAAGUACACACAUGGGGGGAGAGACACCAUAGAAUCGCCUCAACGGUCGUGCCCGGCAGAGGCGCCGACUCUGAAGUCCGAGUUGCCCAGCCACGCCGUUGAGGUGGAGAAGGCGACGAUGCUUGACGGCGACGGCACAUCGCGUGACGCGCAACCGCUCUCGCUGCCACCGAAAUCGGCGGCCGCACUAGUGGUGCGGCGGGCGGAGCUCCAAGCUUCACAGCCGUACAGCGUGGAUGUCCCCGGUGCUCUCGUGUCGGGCACUGUAGGCAGCGUGCUGGGAAGUAAGCCGGCAACUCAGCCGUCCUUGUCUGCAUCAUCACCUUCUUGGGCGGCUGUGGGGCGCGCACCGUGUGUAGAAAGCGGUGACUUACACGCAGAGGCAGCGGUGGCAGGCAAAGAGGACAUCGUUGCGGAUGCGCGUCAUUACGGCGAGGACGUCUGUGUAGAUCUCGCCGCGGCAGAGCAUGAGUGGCCAAACGGUCCUGCCAGGGACGGCGUCUCUGCGGGCCAGCACGCAAGCAGAGGCAGCCUGGGCGGUGAGGACGGCGGACACGUGGCGGUAGACGCGCUCAUCAAGCGGAGAAAGUCGGUCAUCCCCUACGAGAGCGACGACGGGGAGGCAAGUAGUGGCUCGGCUGCCAGGGCGCCUUCCGGCUCCAGGAGCCCUGACCGUUUUCACAGCGAGGGUUUCCACGGUGCCGGAGAUAGUGCCGACGCUGCUGCCCCAACCGCCACACGCGAGUAUGUGGUUACAUACGAUUCUGGUGCAGUGAUGGCAGUUGCGUCAGCGUCUUUUGCGAUCCGCCACGAGAAAAACGAGGGAGAGAUAUAUUGCCUCCACGAGCCAGGUGUGGUCGACGGCGAGAUGAUGCUCAAAGUAGAACCGCCCGACUCGGGACGGCGCGGCCGCAUGCCGGUGUCGGCAGACGCCUUGUUAGGUAGGGAAGGGGAUCGCUGCUGUGGUGAUGCGUCGGUGAGCACAUCGAAGACGAACGCUCAUAAUACCUCGGGGAAGGGUGAGGGCGACGCGAUGACGAUGCUGGCUGAGGAGCGUGAGGACGCACCAGGCAACGCUCUAGUGUUAGGGACACGCGCCUCGGUGCCCGAGGAGGCGAAGGCUGACAGCCUCAGUGCACUGCCGCAGCUGAAUGCGGGUGAUGGGAAAGACAGCGUGGUGGCAUCCCUGGAGAUGCGUGCUCACAAGGAAGAUCAGCAUCUCGUGUGCGAAGCGCAAGGGAGAGGCACGGCGGCGCAGAGGACCGCGUCACGUUUUCGGGCGCCUGCCGAUAAAGUUCUCCGGGCAGAGCAAGCGGAACUCGCCUGUGCUGAGGCGGCAGUGGCUGGCUCGCUUUCAGCGCGCCAUUCGACGACGCUGAACAAAGUUGCGAGCUCCGUUGCCACCGUCGCGGAGGCCUUUGCGUCUGCUGCAAACGACUACGGCGACAUGCCGAAGCUGUCUUCUCUGUCGCCAACUUCGUGGGCCGCGCGCAGAGGUACGAGGGCACCGUUUCAGUCACCACGGGACGCAGAGGCGAGAGAGAGGGGGCUGAAAGCCGUGCCUGCUCCUGCGGCGCUGUCGCACUCGUCGCACUCACCGGUGUCGCAAGCACCGCAAGGGACAAGCCAGCGCGCAGACCAGGUGGACGGAUCAUGCAAUGCCGAACUCGGCGCGGCUGGCGAAGCGGAGGCCAGUAACUUUUUUUGUGCAGCCGCGCACGCGACACUCUCAGACAGAAGCGGCGAGGACGACGUGAGUGACAGGACAGCGGCCCGAAAAGCGGCCCUUUCGGAUUCCCCAACUCCGCCCUCUGCUUUCUCUGCGUGCGCAGAGAACGUUUGCCCGAGCAGCGUGGAAGACACUGCUCCGCCUGGCGGGUCAUCGAUGCGUGCAUCCAUCUCGGCCACCUCUGUUCGGUUUGCCGCAUACGCGCACGAAGCACCGCAAAAGGUGGGCAGCAGCGCUUCGGCGUGCACGGGCGAUCCUGAGGUGGAAGGCGACAACGGGCCAGCGAGUGAGGCGCUGCACCAGGAGACGGAGGGGGAGUGGGGCAGCGCCUGGGACAAGGGCAGCUCGGCUGCGCCCGAGGCGAGCGCUGCCUCCGGGGGACGAGCUGCUUCCAGCGGCCGCGAAGCAGCUGGCUGCGGUAAAGCUGUGCCGUGGACAGAGAAGGUGAACGAUGCCACGGAUGCUCUUGCCGUUACCGUAGCUUUCCCAGGUGGGGAGGCUGAAGCGCAGCUGACAACUCCUGCGGAUAACGACGGUCACGCACAUCAGUCGAGCCACGCCGCGACUUUGUUCUCGCCGACAUCGAGGAGCGGGGAAUCCCGUCGCGGUGAUUCUCCCACGACGACGAGUGCAGAGAGACCACCACACAACGAAGGUGCAGACCUACAGUGGUCCGAAGACUUUGCCAACGCUAGGGCGACAGCAGAGGAGCGAAGUGCAGAGGUGAGCGCGGCGAUAAAGGAAGGCCCAUCUCCAGAGGAGGCCGUUGUGGCCCCGCAGCCUCUGGCGACACUGCCGCCUCGACGUGGUCGCAUAUUCGUCUUCGCACCGCACCAGCUUGCAGCAUCCGCGUCGAUGGAGCUGACGAACGUCAACUUUCGUUUCCGCAGUGGUGACGCUUUUGAGCGCAUUCGAUCCCCUACGCGGACUCAGGAGCAGCCCGCGGCGACUCUAGAUACGGAUACGGUAGAGGACGGGGCGGCGAAGCCGGUGCUGCUGCGCGUGGCGGGCGGCGGCCGCACCUCCGGCUCUUCCGACGGUUCGCUCUGCUCCAAGGAAGGGUACUGCUGCGCAGCGGCAAUGAUGGCGUAUGCGACGGCUGAGGAUGAGACUGUGGACCGCCGCACUGCAUCCAUCGGCUCCACCACGACCCAGAUCACGCAACUCCGGGGGAGCUCCUCGAGAAGCAUUCACGACGGCAACGACCUCCGACUAGGCGACGGCGAAUCGCCGGUGAAACCGGAGGCAGUCGAGCUGGCGAAGUCGAUAGCGCGGGGGUCAACGAUGGCCCCGUCCUCGGCGAUAAUGCAUGAUCGAUCACCGCUACCUUCCGCAUCGGUGAAUGUCGCGGCGCCCAGCGAGGCGCCGGUGACGGCGAACGAGGACGUCGCGCAGGCGGAGGACAAGGAUGUGAAGCGGCUGCAAAGGGCACGGCAGGAUCUCUUGUCCACUCACGAAACCGACAUUAUUGAGAACAUGGACACCCCGCCUCCGUGCACGACGAGCGCACCCAAUACACCGGAGCUCCUGGACCCUUCCAAGCCUCCUUGCUCGUCAGCGGUUUUUGCCCCAAUAGCAGCGUCGGUGGCUGUGGCACCAGUAGAAGCGCCCAGAGGAUCAGGGCGUGCAGCGGAGUGGGAGACGAAACCGUCGACUGCUGUGCCCCUGCCUCUAUCUCCUCGACCAGAGUCGCCGGCGGCACUGCCAGAGGCUGGGGAAAGAGCUGCGGGUCUGUUGUCACCACGGAAUUGCCCUCUGGACCGCGAAGGUGACCUGCUCGGCUGUGUACACGGAGGUGACGCCGACGAGGCGACGCCUCCUGGCAAGGGAGAUGCUCUUGCGACCACGGAGGGAGAGACGGCGCUCGAAGUCGGCACUAACCAUCCUGUCAAUGCGUUGAAAGAUGGCAUGGCGGGUGCGCACGAAAAGGCGCGUCUCAAGAGUGGAGGCGCCCACGGCACCGCGGUGGCCUCGCACGAGGUCUCUGCAGGUCAUCUUCUCCCACCUCAUCUACCAGCGCCUUUUCACAAGCCACGACCACAGCAGCAGCGGCUCGGCACGAACGAGUCUACUUGGAGCGACAUGGAGACGGACGAGGCGCAGCGGCGGUAUAUCCGCGAUCAAAUCGUACAGGAGGAGGCGGCGGGAGUGAUUCAGCAGGCGUGGAGAGAUUGUGUAGCGGCUCGGAUGCGGCGCCAGCUGCACCUGCUAUGGUAAGCUGCAGGGAAGGGAAGGAGGGGCGCAAGCCAAGGCGUCGGCACUUGGAGGGGCGCGGAGGGAACCUCCUCUUCCCUCGAAGCGCAGACGCCGGUGAUGACAGCUCGAUUCUCUACCCGUCUUCUCUCCAUAUGCAGUCUCCUCGCAUACGAAACGCUUUCCAGUGCAUCGGCGUCCCGCUGUCGCCGGCACCCAUCUCUUUUGCCCAUCCCUGAGCAGCCUUCUUCGGGUUCAGGCCCCAUCUCCAUCGAGUGCGCACCCGAGCACACUUCACCACCUCCCCGGCUCGUUGUCUCCCAAUGCUCCUUUUUUCCUUCUACCCACCUUCUCUCCGUCGAACCACCGGGCUUCUCCCUAACGUGCGCACGCUGUGCAUGACACUGCGACACGCGUGUGUGUCUCGCUUUUCUCUCUUUUACUUUGUGUGUUUUCCUCUUUCGCCUCCACGGAGAUGGCUGACGGGCCAUCUUGUCUCUUCGGCAGCCUCGCUUGCUGUCGCCCUCUCCGCCUCUCUCUCUCGUCGUCGUCUCGCCGUGCCUGUGUCACGCCCUCUUUUUUUCCCAUUUUUGAUCGUCUUGCACUCCCCUCUGCUUCCCUCUCCCAUUCUCUAGAUAGGCACACAGCAUACGUGCGCGUGCUUGCCUGCGCGUGUGUGAGCUCCUCGCGUGGUGCAGAACUGAAACGGAGAGGCGUGUAUGUGUGUGUCUUGGGCGUUGGCGGCUGCUGUUUCGGGUGCCGCAGCAGACAUCCCACUCACCAUUCUUCUCCCUCGUGCGGUGUGUCUCUCUCUCUCUUCUCUCCCCAAUCUGUGGCCCAACCCUCUUUUUUCUCUGCGCCUUGAGGCUGAUAGGCUUGACCCUUCCUCGUUCACUUGCUCCCCCUCCCUGUUUUGCGUGUGAGUCAUGCGCAUUCUCCAGCAGGCGGUCCCUCGCUUCCUUGUAUGUUUGUGCUCGUCGCGCGUUGCUGCUGCUGUCUGCAUGGGGUGCUUGUCUAUUCCGUUCUCCAUGUACGCCCAUCAGUGCGUUUUUGUGUGUCUGUGCGUCGGCGUGCUUGUGCUCCUUGUGUUUCUACUCGAGUCUUGUGUUGCCACCCUUUUUUUUUUCACUUCCCCUCUCUGUGCUCCCUCACCGUCCAUCAAGUCUUGCCCUCCCGCCCCCCCCAUCUAUCCCCAUCGCCUACCCCGCCUCUCUGUCCGCCUCCUUUGCUCCUCCGCCGCCCCGCUUGCUCAUAGAGUAUCGGCGAAUCCAGAGCCACUCGCCGGGGUGGCGUUCGGAGGAGGGGGGGGAGGCCGUGAACAGCACCAGUGUAAUCCAAGCGGCAAGGCACUGGGGGCGCAAAGCUUUGCGCGCCAACGAGUAGGGCGCAUGCUCGUCGUGGCCGUUGUCUCUGCCCCACUUCAGGUACGGCACGGUCGAACGGGGGAUGCGGCGCGGUAUUGCUCUCCAGCGAGCGCUGUAUUCUCAUCUCCUCUUUCGGGUCGGCCUACUCGGGCCGUCUUCUUAGACGUGCGUGUGCUGAUGUGGGGCCCCUC
rnacentral:misc_RNA from 1 species